rnacentral:rRNA from 1 species
GACGAGGGAUCCUAGCGUUGUUCGGAAUCAUUGGGCGUAAAGCGGGUGUAGGUGGCUUGGUAAGUCGGGUGUGAAAGCCCAGGGCUCAACCCUGGAAGUGCAUUCGAUACUGCUGAGCUUGAGUGUUGGAGAGGUCAUCGGAAUUCCCGGUGUAGCGGUGAAAUGCGCAGAUAUCGGGAGGAACACCUAUGGCGAAGGCAGCUCGCUGGGACGUUACUGACGCUGAGACGCGAAAGCGUGGGGAGCAAACAGG